CAGAACUGUGCGUUUUAUUUGUGUUUUCACUCUUUUAUCUGUGGAAUAAUCGCGGAGAGUGAUUCAUUAGUAGUUUGCAUAUUAACUUAAGUAAUGUGGAGAUUUAAAAUGUGUGCACUGUACUUGUCUGUUUAAGAAGGCUUCCAUUGCUGUGGAGUGCAUUGAACGACAUCAUGGCAUAGAAGAACAUACCCGGGGAUAAUACUAGCAGCAACAAGUACCACGCAACCGCCAAAAUGCACGCCGCCAUUUUGAAGCACGUCUGAGUGAACCGAUGGUUUCCAUGGAUUCCAUGAAGAUUCAAUUGAUUUGUUGGUUUUUAAUCGUCCAAUUAUUUUUAAAAAUAAACAUUUUGGUGAAUGCUGUUUGUGUUCUUCCAACGGAUCAUCUUCUUUCCCCCAUUGGUGUAAUCGUACUGCACACGAAAAACAUUCUACUGUAUCGUUUUUACCUGUGUAAUAAAAGCCAGCUGAUGA